rnacentral:piRNA from 1 species
GGCUCUACAAGAGUGAGGUGGCUCUUUAGU